rnacentral:rRNA from 1 species
UACGUAGGUGGCAAGCGUUGUCCGGAAUUAUUGGGCGUAAAGCGCGCGCAGGCGGUUCUUUAAGUCUGAUGUGAAAGCCCACGGCUCAACCGUGGAGGGUCAUUGGAAACUGGGGAACUUGAGUACAGAAGAGGAAAGCGGAAUUCCACGUGUAGCGGUGAAAUGCGUAGAGAUGUGGAGGAACACCAGUGGCGAAGGCGGCACUCUGGGACGGUACUGACGCUGAGACGCGAAAGCGUGGGAGCGAACAGG